ACUUUUGAACAUAUCAGAUCGUGCGAUUACCGCCAAUGCUAGGGUAGCGCCACCAUCGCUUAGUAGAAACAGCGUCGAUGACAUACUCGCGUCUUUGUCGACGCCUGUUUCAUCCUUCACAUCGCACGCGACUGUUUCCAUAGCACUGUAGCGGGUGACACCCACUGCUAGAACUGAUCCCACAUCCACUCCAUUCUUCUGCAGGAUGACGGCCAAUAUCCUUGCCAUCCUCUAUGGCUAUUUCGAUCGAUUGUCUGUACAGGAUCUCCGGGCCUUGGACGACGAGCACAUAGAGUGGCUACCGAGAUUCGGCGUCAUGCCAGGAACUGCCGCCCAAGAACUACGGAACGUGCUGGAAGGCGCUGGCGGCGUGCUUCAAUGCCUGGAGCGCAGCGCCUGGUUAAUGUGCUGGCUGGCCCAGAGGAGAAAGAUUCGGCCAUGGCUGCUCUACCGUUUCGGUGCCUCAUCCUUGCGAGCCGACUACGCGGCGGUUAUCCAGGUCGUGGCGAGUGUAAUCCCGCGCCGUGACUACCAUAUGACGAUUCAAGCGAGACACCAAGCAGGAACCUACUACGUCUGCAUGAUCAACCAGGACCCGUUUCCAGCCGCGCUGGGCCACGUACUUAUUUGCUUGGUCUUCUGGCAUGGUCACCCCUUCGCUGCCGCGUACGUCGGCCGAGUCCGGCAGCAACGCCAGCUCGUGGACGCCCUGCAUGAGGCCCUAUACGGCGAAACCGUGGAACUCUUAGAAGGCCUUCAUGCAGACCUUGAUAGCGCAUUUCGAAUGGGCUGCCAAAGUUGGAGCAGUAGGGUCAUAUAUCGUAGAGUUGCCGACCCAGCUCUCAGAGAACGGCUUUCAUCGUGUUUGCUGCCGCAACAGUAUUACACUAAUGUACCGGGCGGACAUCAUGGCGGAGUCCCAUGACAAACGAAGAAAAACUGCAGAGGGCGGCACUUGUUGGCGUUACGUAUCUGGAAGCAGGGACUUGACACGCCGCACGUUGUGCCUCGCAACGGAUUUGUAGAAGGCAGCCCUAAGCGAUUCUAGGGCGAGACUUGUCAAGCGCCGAGUCUGCAUAUGACACACGCUGGAUGCUACAUUUACGCCACGGGUGCAUGAGUAACCCUUUGCAAGCCAAUUGCACUGAAGAACUACUACCGGAACCACGCCACCUUUCAUAUGGCACGACUGGUUUAGUUUUUGUUCAAGAGUUCCAGUACGGUGUGACAUUGUGACUGGAACUUGUGUGACGCGGCCUAGAGCAAAAUAGCGUGUAUGAUCAACAGCCCGAUUCCCUCCUGUACUCUUCGAAUAGCAAGGCACCCUUCAACAGCACUGUUGCUAAAUGUGGGAUGUUUGCGUGCGAGGUGCCCAUUUGUGACGUCGCCGCUAACAUAAGCGGCUAAAUAUUUACAACUGUGACAUAUGUGAUGCCAACAUAACCAUGCUUACUAGCUCGUUUUAGCUGUGACAAAAAUUAAAGAAGCUUUCAU